UAGUUUUACUCCGAUCAGGGCCUAACCCAGGAUUUAGGACUACCACGCUGAAGAUUGGGCUUCUAGUACUUGAUUCUAUCUACUGUGGAGGUGGAGAUGGCAGACAGAGAGACUGUAGGCCCUAAAAGCAUGGAUGCAAACAAUGAGAACAGCUUCUCGGAUGCUCAUGGCUCAAUGUGCUUCCUACCAACUCCUCCAGCAGUGUGAAAGACAGGUAUAUGAAAACACGACCACGCUGUCCUGUUGGUCCCAGUCUGGUCAUUACUCACUUCUGUUACAACAAGGGUGUGAGAGUUUGCAAGGCCAUCCCACAUUUUAACUGAUUUUGCUACAUGUUUCCUGUGCUUGGUCAUGUACUCUGUUAAGACUGCUUUGAAAGAACGUUACAUCUCAGGGAUGGAGUCGUAAUCCAUCAGCAGUAAUGGUUCUGCAGUAGAGAACUUGUAAUGUCCUUGGAGAGGGUUCAGUUCGCUUCUCAGAACCCACCUCAAAACUUCUUGUAACUCUGACUCCAAGGGACCCAAAACCCUUUCCUAUGUUCCAUAGGUUCUUGCACCUCAUACGUAUUUACACAAAUACAUAAUUAAAAUAAAAGAAAUUAAAAAAAUACUACCACCCAUAAGCUUAAAUGGUAAUUACAAAAGCAAAUAUUUCCCUUUCUAAGUUCUAAGUCAGUAUAAAAUAUGCAUUUAUUUCACCAAUUCAUACAGUAGCUUUAAGAUUUUUCUCUGUGCUGAAGUGAUUUAAUGAAAGAACGUAAGGUUGAAAAUCAAUACAAGAAGAAAAUCAAGUAGAACUUGUUAGUAGAGAAGUGUCAGACCAUCCUUCCGUGCUGAUCCCUUCUCUAGCCUGUGUUUCUCAGGGAUCCUAGAGGGCAUAGUUUUGACAUCACUGUAUUAAGCUAUAAAACUUAUUAUAAACAAUUUUUGUUUUACAAAAGCUAUUCGUUUGGCAGAAGACAGCAAGCUAUGAACCCAUCCCAUCUUGCCAUUGCUGGGUUUGGUGCUUCACUAAGCACUCUGAAGACUUUAUUCUCUUUAUUAACCUUCCUUUCCUCCACAAUUGCUACAUCAUUGUUCCACCAAUGCCCUUGAGAGACUAAAGCCAACAACUUGGUUAACAGCAUCCUGUACUCAGUAAUAAACACAGUGUUUCCAUAGACUUUAUCCUUUUACUACUGUUCUAUGUUUCUGGCUGAUGGCACACAAUGCUGCUGUCAGACUUUGACCUGGAGCCACGCUUCUGCAUGCUCUCCCAAGAUCAUAGAAGCUUUUCCAUAAAGAAAAUCUAUAAAGCUGACAUUCAUGGGUCUUAAAUUAACUAUCCGACCCAAAUUAACUUAUUGACCUUCACUGAGC
rnacentral:lncRNA from 1 species